rnacentral:lncRNA from 1 species
AAAUACUCUGUCACUGAUGUCUUUAUACUUGGCUUCUUCCUUUUUCUUUUUAAUUUUGUUUAGUUUAUGUAAAGUGGAAUGCACGUAAGUUUGAACGCGACUAGGAUAUUGAAGGUGGGGAUUGUUUUAAAGGUAACCCGGUAAAAUUACUAUGGAGGUUUUUGUACUAGUAAUUGGAUUAUAUUUUGCUCUAAAUCGAUUUUUAUACAUUAAAUUAAAAAAUAAAUUAAUUUUUAUAUUAAAAAUAA